CCCUUAGAUGUUCUGGGCCGCACGCGCGCUACACUGUUCGACGCAGCGAGUCUUAACCUUGACCGAAAGGUUUGGGUAAUCUUCAGCAAAGUCGAACGUGAUGGGGAUCGAUCAUUGCAAUUAUUGAUCGUGAACGAGGAAUUCCUAGUAAGUGCAAGUCAUCAGCUUGCGCUGAUUACGUCCCUGCCCUUUGUACACACCGCCCGUCGCUACUACCGAUUGAAUGGUUUAGUGAGAUCUCUGGAUUUACGCUGGCUAGGGGGCGACCCUUGGCCAGACUGUUGAGAAACUGCUCAAACUUGAUCAUUUAGAGGAAGUAAAAGUCGUAACA
rnacentral:rRNA from 1 species